AAGUCGAACAAGGUUUCCGUAGGUGAACCUGCGGAAGGAGGUCAUUAACACGUAUCCAACGUUAAAACCUAUCCGUUAGAAAGUGGCAAUCCCUGGUAAAUCAUCGCCGAACAGUUUUGACUCAGGGACUUCUGCGUGGGUAGGACAACUGCGCCGAGCAAGUGGCCUGGCAUCCCUCUGCUUGUUAGUGUCUGAAAGUGUCACUAGCUCUGUACGGCCGGCGACCGGGUCAAUGGGCCCUCGGCCCCCGAAGCACCUUUGCAUGAAAACGGGCCGGCCACCAAACUCGAACAACUGUUAACAAUGGAUAUCUUGGUUCUC
rnacentral:misc_RNA from 1 species